rnacentral:rRNA from 1 species
GAUCAUGGCUCAGGAUAAACGCUGGCAACGCACAUAAGACAUGCAAGUCGAACGAACUUAACCAUUAGUUACUAUUGGAGCGGUUAGUGGCGGACUGGUGAGUAACACGUAAGCAACCUGCCUAUCAGAGGGGAACAACGAGUUAGAAAUGACUGCUAAUACCGCAUAUGCCUUAGAAUCACAUGGUUCAAAAGGGAAAGGAGCAAUCCGCUGAUAGAUGGGCUUGCGU